rnacentral:piRNA from 1 species
UGGUAGCUAUUUCAAAUAUUUCUGAGC